UGGGAGUGGUUACAUGCUCAUGAACGCACGGGGUUAGAAAUCGACCUGGAGGAAAAUGUAGUUUCCUGAGUGGGAAACUGAGCCCAAAAUGCUUGAUUACAAGUCGGUUCAUGUCAGGAGCAGCUAAAGGGGGCCACGGAGGAAAAUGGGGAGUUUUUAAGGACGUUAUAGAGCUUUAUAGUGGGUGCACCGCUGUCAACGGAGGAUGCAAACAUGACAGCAGUUUUUUUCUCCUCUGCGGUCACGUGGUCGCGCGCGCUACUUGAUGGAAAAAUACUGGAUUUGGUGUGUAGUGGCGAUAGUACACAAGCCUGUAAAGUCAUUUGGAAAGGGCUUUUGAAAGGCUGUUGUAACGUUUACCCAGCAACACUGUUCCCCACUCCUUUCAUUGAUAUUAUUCCCACCCAUAUGUGCGGUUAUUUCGCGCUGUGCACUAAAAUUUUUGAGUUUACAAACACUAUUAAAAAUGGUAUCAGGAGGCAUUUAGAAUAUCCAAUGUAUCCAAACUUUCGAGGAGCAUGCAGUUCAUUUUGCUUUUUGAAUAGAUAAUGGAGAAAACUCUCCUUGUUUCACCCAUCUGUCAUGCUCCUGCCCUUGGAUUUGUGUCACGCCUGAGACAGGCAGCCUACAUAAUGGACCACUCUCCACUUGAAAGGCAUCACACAUUGCUAGAAAGAAACAGGACAAGAAAAUACAGAGAAACUGCUGAGGAUUAACUUUGCUCAACUCAAACUCUUGAUGCCACACCAGCAGCAGAAAGUGACUUUCUUCAGUUUAUUUUUAAUUCACUCAGGAAUGUGUAAAAAACUCACUUCAUGACAACAGAUGUGUAAAUGAAAGUUUCUUACUUUAUUUACAUUUUUAUAUCUAUUCAGGGUUAGUCAGGUCCCUUCAUUCCUUCACAGACAAAUGAGGCUUUUUUCUUCACUGCUGGAAUUUAUCGUCAAACAUGUGUGAAGUUUGAAAGUAAGCAAUCCCAGUCAGGCACAGGCUGGUUAAAUCUUGUUCAGUCUGGUUGGACCAGUGUAGACCAUUUACAUACUGUAUAUUCUCAUUGCACCAUAGCAGGGGGGCUGACCUCUAUGAGGCAAUCCACAGAGAAAAAAAAAGACUAUUUGUUGCAGAGCCUCAGAUUGCUGCAUCGCCUGAAUCCUGCACACUGGCCAAUGUCUCUGUGCAUAGACUAGUUUAGCGUUUCCUUGGAAUCAUUUCACAAUAACACCAAUGUAUCAUCAAUCCACAUGUUCAAGGUUAAAAAAAAAACUAGAAAACUAAUAUAAAUGUUGUUACUGUGCUGGGUAUUUAUCAAAAGUUUAUAAAAAUAACAGAAAAGAAGUUUAUAUUUUAUUUUUGCAUAAGGCAGUAUAGGCUGAACAUCACAGCAUUAGUCUGCAGUGCCCCUCGUUAAACUGACCUUCUAUUUACGGUCCCGGAGCGCCCUCUGCUGGAGAAGCAGUGGUCCUGCGCUCAAACUUCCUGUGACAGCUUGUUACCACAAAUUUCCAAUAUGAUUCAUAACUUUUAAUUAGUAAUUUAUCUAAAAAACGGUUUAAAAAAAUGUUUUUAACUGAGUGGAAAGUUUUUCUAUGAGGUUAAUAGAAGUGGCUUGCAGCACUCAAUUUCACAUUUUUUUGAAGAGCUAUUGGAAAAUGUUAUAUUUUAAAAUCAAUACAAGUAAAAUUACAUAAAUAGAUAAAAUACAUUCAUAUAAAUAUGAAUAUAAACAAAUAACAAAACAGUUUUUAGCAAUAAAUGUAUCAUAAAAUGUUAAUAUAAUUGUAAUGAUAAUAUUGCAUAAUACAAUGUGAUGCAUAAUGGGUUUCUAUUGACACAUGAACAUAUUCUUUUGGUUUUCUUUUUAUUUUCAAAGUCUAUUAGCAAUUUAAACAUGUAUUUACUUUAGAUAAUCCAGUUAUAGAAACAGCCAAGUUCUUCUCAGUAUAAUGUCACCAAAACUUUUUUUCACCAUCUUUAAAGUUUACAAUAAAACUUUGUUUUCUGAAUCUUUACUCCUAUCAAGCUUUCUGUAAUGGAAACUAUAAUGUAAUAGAAUUCAGCGUCUCUCUUUUUUCCUCUUGCAGACUUGUGAAUUUAACAUAUGGACAUUUUCUCAGAAGCUGCAGCAGAAUCCGUGACAUUGUCACUAAUCCUCAGUAUAUGACCAGGGGUCUGCAACCUUUAACACUGAAAGAGCCAUAUGGUCCAGUUUCUUACAGAUCAAAACCCAGCGAGAGCCACUUCCUGUUUAGAAAAACACACUUCAUUUAUGCUUUUGUGGCCAUAAAACCAUUCAUUUCUUAAAACAUAGCUCACAAAUAUAGGUACAAAUAUGAAAUUAUAACAACGUUUCUAUUAUAUUACUUUUACAGCAGCACAUUCAGGUUACUUUCAAAAUAAAAUACAUUGUGUGACAAAUUAAAUCCUGUUGCAGCAGAUUUACUUGCAAUUAUAUUUUGAGAACUUAGUCUCCUAGCAGCAACUAGACGUAAGAGUUUUAAAAUGAGAAAAGAUCAAGAUUUUUACUAACAAACCCAUUAUUUAUUUAGAUUGUUUGAUUUUUUUUUUCAAAAUAAAAGAGCUAAAAUGGAGGGAGGCUUUAAGUUGCAGACCUCUGGUAUAGAACGUUUAUUAAUGCUGAAUCCCACAUACUUCAGAUGUAAUUCCAAAUCAAUAUAUAGUCACAAAAAAUCUGGAGAGUAUUAUGUUUCAUAAGGUCAUUAAAAAAUGUUUUUAAGACAAAGGAGCAAGAGUGACAGUAACUAGCCUUUAGUUUGGAUCCUCUUAUGUAUCAGUUGUGCUUGUCAGCAUGGACGCAGGUGGCUGAACAUCAUGUAAUGAGGGUUUUAUCUUGCCUCAUUAUUUUGACUUCCAACAGUGUGGGGACUUUUUUUUACCCCCUACUGCACUUGGGUACCAUUUUUCAUUUUUAACACUCCACUAGUCAUGCUGGGAGGCAUCAAGCCCCAUUACUCACAGCUUCCACAUCUCCCAGUUUCAGGCUGGACACUGUCCCACAAGUCCACUGAGCUCCUCAUGCCAAGUUAUUACCAACAAACGUUAAGCAGUGACAAGCAGGGUCUUCCAGAUUCCACGAUAUGAAUCAUCAGCCAGCAUCCUCACAUGACUCAACUGCAUUAUUGUUGACGUCACCCUAAACAGCAACACACAGGACUCAGAGCGGAAAAGAUGCACAUUCACAGGCUGUUUACAGACAUCAAAAGCCUCAAAAAGACUGCAGUUUGAGAAUUAUACACAUUAGGAUGGGGUUAAUGUUAAAUCAUUAAAAGUGACUUCUAAUGAAAUGUGUUGUGAAAUGUAGUUACAGAAAAUAUUCAUGUUAUUGUCUUUCUCUUGUCACAUCUGUAAUUUUAACUCCACAACUUUCACUGUUUCUUAAUAGUUUUGCCCCCAAGGACAAAAUUUCAACCACUUAAAUCUGAAUGUUUCUGAAAUUAAGCUUUAUUUUGCAGACAGCUGAUGACACUAAAAACUGUUUAGAGAAAAAUAAAUAAAAUUUUACAAACCUGUGUUUGAAUGUGUUUUUGAACUUUUCUUGUUGUUUGCAUGGCCUUAUCCACAUUACAGAGUCUGAUUGUUUCACUUUAAAUGAGCAGGUUUUGAUGAUGCGGUUUAUUCAGGAUUCAGUUCAAAGUUUUGGAUGGAAAAUCUCUGGAAUAUAAAGAGCUAAGAAAUACCAUUUUUUUUGUUAAGACUCAAUUCAAAAAAUUAUUUUAGAAUGUAUGUGGCUUUGUUAAAGAAAUAAAAACCACCAAAAAUAAUAUGUUUUAUUCUUUCAUUGUAAUAAAAAAGAAAUGCAUUUUGCAUUGUCUUGUUUUUAUAAUUGUUUUGUGACAAACAAAUGAAUAUAUAUAAAAAAUAAAGAAAAAAAGUGACACCUGAAAUAAACAUCCACCUGAGCACAUCACAUCGUUUAAAUUUUGUAAAUAGUGGUCUUGCUUGAGGUUGAGGUUUUAUUUUCACCUGGUAGCCGAUCUUCUGCCCUCUCCUGAGCCAUUUAAUGCAGAAAAAACUGUUGGUUUGUUUAUAAAAUUUUAGAAAAUUUGUUAGGAGAAAAUGCUAAACAGCAGGAACCUCAUCAGGAUGUGACUGAGAACAGUAGCUGUUUAGUCAGAAUCAGAUCUCUAUAGAUAAGUGGUUGGAGAUCCUGUCUUUCAUGAUUGUUAUAAUCUUAUCAUCCUUCUAAAAGCUUCUGUUUGUCAAAGACAGAUCCACUUGUUCUUGAUUGAUAUUUUUCUUUUAAAAAAUAAAAUUAAAACCCAACUAAGUUUCAGAGCAGGUUUACUUUUAUUUAAGCAUUCCUGUUGCAUUUUUGAAGACGGAUUUAUUUGAAACAUUAAAGCAUGUGUUCCUCCUGAGUUUUUAUCCCAUGUAGGUUAUUCUUUAUUGUUUUUUCCCCUGACCGUCUUCAAAGCUGAAGCACCCACAGAUCAAGGAUGAUAGUUUGGUUCAUUUAUGAGGUUUAUGGGUAAGAUGCUCCUUAACAGUGAGAUAAACCUUGUUUUUGUAAACCACUGUUGAUAUUACAUUGAAUGAAGAUGCCUUGUGUUAUCUCUUGUGUUAUUUCAAAAGCUAAGCAAAAUUUUGGAUUAAAAAAAAGACAUUUUAGCUCUUUUUAUUAUUAGGAUAUAUGCAAAACCAUGUUUAGCUGUCCAAAAGGGAGAAGGUAAACAAAAAUGUGUAUUUGUACACACUCUAUAUACUUUCACAUUGGAUCUUGAACCAUUAACGUCAACUAUAGUCAGGCUAAAAUUGGUAAUUAUAGGGAAAAAUAUACAACAAAAGAAAAUAUCUUUGCUGAUUUGCAUUGUUUAACAUUUUGAAUCAAAUACAUUUACUGAAGAUGCAGCAUAGGAACUUUUAAUUUGUGCCUUUGUCCAGAGUAAAACAAAUGUUAUACUUGGAAUAAAGUGCUGUCUUCUCGUUAUAUUUCAAAUUUUUGCUGUUCAGUUACAUAUAUCAUUAGGAAAAGUGACAUCAAUAUAAAGGAAUGUUGUGUUUUUCUAAAGGGUGAAACCAGACUUUGUUCAGACACCGGCCUGAAUGGUGCUAUGUGACCCCCACUGGUCCAUUGGAACUCUUUUUUCCCCAUAAACUUUAUUGAACAUUCUUUCAAUUUUCAAUUGUUUACAUUCACAUUCAGUUGUGCAUUUUUUUUAAACAAUAGGUAACAGAAAACCCUACAAGUACAGUGCAACCGGCACAACAUCAAUAAACCUUGGUGUUGCAAUU